rnacentral:rRNA from 1 species
UACGAAGGGGGCUAGCGUUGCUCGGAAUUACUGGGCGUAAAGGGCUCGUAGGUGGCCAACUAAGUCAGACGUGAAAUCCCUCGGCUUAACCGGGGAACUGCAUCUGAUACUGGAUGGCUUGAGAUUGGGAGAGGGAUGCGGAAUUCCAGGUGUAGCGGUGAAAUGCGUAGAUAUCUGGAGGAACACCGGUGGCGAAGGCGGCAUCCUGGACCAACACUGACGCUGAGGAGCGAAAGCCAGGGGAGCAAACGGG